rnacentral:tRNA from 1 species
GGAGAGGUGGCCGAGCGGCUGAAGGCGCCGGUCUCGAAAACCGGUUGGGGUCUUGUACUCCACGAGGGUUCGAAUCCCUCCCUCUCCG